GACAGAUGACAGAUAACAAAUCCAUGGAGGAAUAUCGAUAAAGUUUUUGUUUAUUUACCGAUUUUAAUAGUGAAUAUUGUUAAGAAGCCAUGUGAAUUUUGUGAAAAAGUUUAAAGUUCUUAAGGUGAAUUUUGUGUAAAAAUUUGGUACCAAAAUGGCUCAAAGUACCAGUGGAGGUACGUCUUCAAGAAAACACCCCAGAGAACAUGAUACUGCUUCUGUGGUGUCUUCCAGGAUUGGUGAUGUCACAGAAUGGGAAGCAAAUGAGGCCUUACGCCAACGAGAGCUCGAAGAAGCCAAAGGCCGGGCAGCCCAAAUGGAGAAAACCAUGAGAUGGUGGUCAGAUUGCACCGCCAACUGGAGAGAGAAAUGGUCCAAAGUCAGAAACGAACGCAACAAGGCCCGAGAAGAAUCCAAACAACUUCGAACAAAACUCGAAGCCUCCUUAAAAGAAUCCUCCUCAUACAAACGCGAAAAAGACGACUUACUCGCCCAAAACGACCAACUGAAGAAGGAAAUCGAGAAAAUCCACUUGCUCCUUCUCAAACACGCUGGCCAAUUUGACAGUCAGAUUUUCGAGGCCUUGGGAGACGAUCCUUUGAAAGACUUCUCCUUCAGUAACGGGUCUCCAUUGAAAGACAGCUCGCUAAGAGGUGCUGCGUCGCCUUUGAGAGAUCUUUUGCGUGAUCACGAACGGGAAAAUGGUGUGUCUUCGUCGCAGAGCAAUCCGGAGUGUGAUAGCACGUCUCCGGUGAAUUUGGAUGGGAAAGAUAAGGACGGUGAUGAGUUGAGACUGUCUAAGUCCAGUCCUGAGCAUGAGGCUGCGGUGGAUGACGAUUACGUUAGUCAGAAGGUGUCUAUGCUGCAAUUGCGGCUUGAAGAGGCGACGAAGACUAUUGGAAUUGAGAGGGAAGAGAAAUCUUCUUUGCACAGAACCAUUGAGCGAUUCACCAAUGAAUUGCAAGAAGCUAAAGAUAAAUGUGAUGAGUUAAGAGAAGCUAAACAAGAAGCAAUGCGCGAGUUACUAUCUUUACAAGACGAACAUGAAAAAGAAAUCCAGAUUAUCAAAUCUGAUUUGAUGGAUGAGGCGAGUAGUCGGGAAGGAAUGGACAAGAAAUUGAACGAUUUGCGUGGAGAGUUGGAAAGACUUCAAGCCGAAAAUGCUUCAGAAUGGGGUAAGAGAGAACGUCUAGAAACAGAAAAACUGACGCUAGAACGGGAUAACAAGAAACUAAGAACAGAAGUUAGAGAUUUACAAGAACGUUUAGAACGCAAGGGAAGUCGAACUUUGAGCACGUCAGAUGCGGAAAUUCGACACCUCCAACAAGAACUCUACGAAAAAACCAAGGAAAUUUCCGAAUUGAAGCAUGCACAAAGCAAACUGAAAAAGUUGCUUCAAGAUAAAGUGACUGAACUGUCUCACACGACGAGACGAGCGGAACAGUAUGAAGGCGAAGUGAAGAAACUCAGAGGACGGGUUGAAGACUUGAAAAAAGAUCUGGCAGCGAUCGAAGAUGAACUUGACGCUUCUCAGAAUCACGCUAGGAAGUUGCAAAGGGCGAAUGACGAGCUUCAAGAGCAAGUUGAUAGUUUUCAAGUGCAAUUGCAGCAUUUACAUACCAGUAUGGAAAAGGAGGACGGAGGUGAGGAGAUGGCGCUUUUUGAGGAGGAAACGGACGUUCUGCAUGGCAAUGGUUUCGUGAGAUUUGUAUAGUUUAUAUUAACAUAAAACUAGGCAUGCUAAUAAUGAAGGAUAGUUGUGCUCGAUCUGUGUUCUAUAAUUAAUUGUUAGAUUGCGUAACCAAAACUCGGCAACACUGUUGGCACAUCGUGUCGCUACACUGCCUAAGUCUUGCAGCGAUGCCGAGGAUGAGUUGAGCGAGUUCCUGUAAAUAAAUAAUCCUCUUG
rnacentral:misc_RNA from 1 species